rnacentral:rRNA from 1 species
AAUGAACGCUGGCGGCGUGGAUUAGGCAUGCAAGUCGAACGCGAAAGUUCCCUUCGGGGAGCGAGUAGAGUGGCGAAAGGGUGAGUAAUGCUUGGAUGACCUGCCCUCGAGACGGGGACAACAGUUCGAAAGGACUGCUAAUACCCGAUAGUCCGGUUUAGAUGCGUCUAGAUCGGUAAAUGGUGCUUCCGCUCGAGGAGGGGUUCAAGUCCUAUCAGCUUGUUGGUGAGGUAACGGCUCACCAAGGCGAUGACGGGUAGCCGGACUGAGAGGUUGGCCGGCCACAUGGGAACUGAGACACUGUCCUGACUCCUACGGGAGGCUGCAGUCGAGAAUCUUCUGCAAUGGGCGAAAGCCUGACAGAGCGACGCCGCGUGGAGGAUGAAGGCCCUCGGGUCGUAAACUCCCGUCACAUGUUAUGAAACGCACAGGUCUACCUGUGCGCUGACAAAGCAUGAGAGGAAGUCACGGCUAACUUCGUG